GACGAACGCUGGCGGCGUGCUUAACACAUGCAAGUCGAACGGAAAGGCCCUGCUUUUGUGGGGUGCUCGAGUGGCGAACGGGUGAGUAACACGUGAGUAACCUGCCCUUGACUUUGGGAUAACUUCAGGAAACUGGGGCUAAUACCGGAUAGGAGCUCCUGCUGCAUGGUGGGGGUUGGAAAGUUUCGGCGGUUGGGGAAGGACUCGCGGCUUAUCAGCUUGUUGGUGGGGUAGUGGCUUACCAAGGCUUUGACGGGUAGCCGGCCUGAGAGGGUGACCGGCCACAUUGGGACUGAGAUACGGCCCAGACUCCUACGGGAGGCAGCAGUGGGGAAUAUUGCACAAUGGGCGGAAGCCUGAUGCAGCAACGCCGCGUGCGGGAUGACGGCCUUCGGGUUGUAAACCGCUUUCGCCUGUGACGAAGCGUGAGUGACGGUAAUGGGUAAAGAAGCACCGGCUAACUACGUG
rnacentral:rRNA from 1 species